GAAAUGAUUAGAAAAUAAUAACAUUUAUCUGGGGGUUUUUUCAAGAUACUGUAUUUUCGUCAUUUCGUCAUCCGCUACUGAGAAUGAGAUUAUCUAUCUAGAAGCUGCUGAAAACUGUGGGAACGCACCACUCCUUUGAUUGUAAUGUGUGAGAUUUUUGGCCUUAACAACGUUUCGAACCUUCAAGUCGGCCUACAAGUCCCAAAAAAAGGUGUGCCAAGGUGGCUCGGUGACAGGAGUGGCUUAAUAAUGAGCGCAUGUUUCAUAUUCAGCAGUCAACGGGGUGAGUAGUGAGUUAUGCUUCAGUCGGCCAGAAAAGCAUACAGAUUGUCCCCUCUGUGUGCAUAAGAAAGGCAAAACACAAUUCUGCACGUAUGACAUCUGGAGCUAAUGAAAAAUAUAUCUAAAAAAAAUAAUAAAGCUUCAUGCUGAAUGAUGGGAUUUUAAAUUGUAUUUUACACUUGAAUGCCUCCCAGGGUGACGGGCGUAACCCCAUGGCGCUCCUUCAUGGCAAACGGCAAAGUGAUGACAGAAGUAGAAAACAAAACACAGGGUGUAGAAAUGAAGCGCUCUUUUGUCUUGAUUGCUCUCGGUGUCUUCCAGAGAGGGUGAUGUCAUCCUCAGACGUUGCAUGUGUUGACCCUUGCGGAGUGGAGGGAACGCAGCCUGGGAGAAUUGGCACUAGACUGGCUUUGAAAUGCUGAUUAAGCACCACCCAACCCCCCCCACCCCCUCUGACUACUGGCUCUGCGGAGGCGGAGGUCUCUGACACGAGGAGGAAUCCUUAAAAAGAGCUUUCGGUGAUGUGGUUACAGUAUCAUAAGGUCUUUCGAAUUCUAGGCCGCUUCUCAGGAGAUGCUCACGUAGAAAGAGGGGGUAGGGCUUCGUGAACGGCAUUCAUUAAGACAUCACCGCCUUCGUUAAAACCUCCUCUCUGGUUCACAUUUCCUUGGUUUUCUGUCACAUCUUCCUCGCCGCUGCACGGUUGCCAUAUCGGCGCUCCCGUUCACGCCGCGUUACACGCCCGGAUAAGCGCUGCGUGGAGAGAUCGGGGAUCGCUUUCGGAAUUAAAAUUUUAAAUGGCUCAUUCAUUUUCAAAUCGCCCUUUACAUGCCAGCUUGUGUUAACAUGGUUUGUAUCAUUUACGAGAUUUUUUGCAAACGUUUUACAAGAGUCCGCAGCACCAUUUCAACCAUUGCACGUGGACGUCCAUUUAGGAAAAUGCUUCUGGGAAAAGUGGUGAUGAUGUAAUUAAGAGGCAGUAACAGUGAUGUAUUUAAUGGCCGAAUGUGAAAACGUGUGGCCCAAAUUGAAGUUCACGGGCGUUAGAUCUGUGGAUUGUCUUCCCUUGCCAAUAAUGACAAGGUCAAUGCUGUGGAGGUCAUUUGUCUCCCUCCCAUCCUGAUGAGAAAUAUUGACCAAGAGGAUGUGAAGAACCAGGAAAGUGCAGCAGCACAACUUUUUCACUUUGACACAUAAGUGAGGCAGUAUAGUGAAUGUAGAUUAAAAGACUUGAUGUGGCGGAGAGAGCUAUCACUCAGGAUGAAGGGUUGAGAAGGGUUACGGGGCGGCCAUUUGCGCUUUUUUUCCGGGUGUAGCAUCAGACUGGAAACACAUAGGUCAACUUUCCGCGGACAAAAGCGACGUCUCACCCUGGUAUUGUGUCUCUCGGGAAACAGUCAAUUUUGUCCCCUGUGAGUGGAGAGACCUUCUAACAUCUCGCAGCCCUUUUGACCUUUUAACCUCAAAGGGGCCUUUGCCCCUGUGUGAUGGAUGGCUCAAGUCUCCUGAUUUAUAGAUAGCUUCUAACAUUUUUUUGUUUUAUUGCCCCCUUCUCGGUUCCUACUUUUCAUUUAAUUUCCCUGGUCUCUGCACUCGCACAUCUUUUCUUAUCAAUUAGCAUUUUUACAGUGCGAGCCAGUGUUAAAGAUGGGCAUGGCAGAGGCUUUCUGUCUGUCUGACAUUGUACAGCUGAGGGGAUUUUUCUUUUUUUUUAAUAUCCAUGUGCCAGAAACUGUGUUUAAUGGCUUCCCCGGGGCUAUGGGCUAAAUUGUAUUUUGCGCCCUGUAUCUUAAGGUAACCUUUCCAAUUGUGAUACUGUAUGAAAGACACUUUUGGGUAUUUGGGUACUUUUGGGUAUUUCACAACCUCAACUUGAUGUCUGGUAGGAAUUACUCUUCUUUGAAAAAGAAAAUAGGAACACAAAAUGCCUGGUGAAGCCAUUUAAUCUGAACAACGAAUGACAUCUUUUAUUUAAAGAUGGACGAGAAAAAGAACAAAACAAUAUAGAUCCAGAAGUAAUAGGCAAAGAUAAUAAACACAAACCCAACAUGGUUCCUUUAAUGAAGACAUUUAUAGCCUGUGUUCGCAAAGCAUCCAGCAUCUUCUUGUAGUGGAAAUAAUAAUAAAUUCUAGAAUAAAAAGCCUUUUUGCAUUUCCGGUUUCCUUAUUUCAAAGUUAGGUUACAUACUUGAAAUGAACCAGUUUCUAACAUUUCUUUUUGAAAGACUCAGAAUUUGUGUCGUGAAGUCAUCACUUGUCUUAAAACAAUGUGAUUGCCAACAUGCAGCUUUGUGAUAAACAAACAUGGCUCUUGUCCAGGUGAGCCGUUACAGCGCUUACGGUGGCGUGAGUCAGUAAUCAUUCGACAAAAAUUAGACUAACACCUGCAAAACCAGACAUUGGAGUGCGGCCCAAAGUGCUUUAUUCCAUGCAUCGGUUGGAGCAACGAGUUGACAGGCAGAACAGCACCAGGCAGCUCAGGGGCUGAGAGGGAUGCAAACACCUGCUCUGGGAGUCGAUAUACAGCUUGUCUGAUUGUUGAAUUGACAUUCAGGUGUUGGUGAUCAGGCACUGAGAGGCGGGAUAGGAAGGAGGUAGAGUGAAAGAGACAGCUCCCUUAGAAGUCAGCAGACAUAACAGGGGUUCUCCGAGCCUAAAGACGCAGUGGAUGAAACAUACCAAACCCUGCUGUGUGUGCAUCAGGCUCGAGUGCUGUAGGAAGUGUGAAACGUACAGUCGCUGCAUAAACGGGGCCAAUGGCUGGUUGGCGUCGUUACAUGCAGCAUGUUAUUAUUGAUGCUUCAUGUUUCAAAUGUCAGAUGCCUUCCUUGCUGACUGCCCCCUGUCCUCUCUCUGCAUUCUUUAUUUAAAUUAUCUUCUUGCAAAUGUCAUCGUGGUUGCUGCUUGCAGCUUUCUGUUGAAACGCCGGGAUUACCAAGAGAAAAAGUGCCAGACGGCACACAGGCCAUAAAUGUGCCAGGGGAUGCAGAGAUAACACAGCGUCACACACUCACACACUCACAUGUUGGAUGUUAGACAUGAGGGACUCAGAACAACCAUCAAUAAAUAUGUUCAGAAACACCUCCUUAUAGCUGCAUGUCUGGCCUCACAAUCAGCAAAUUAUGAGCCGUUCUUCAGAAUGAAAAGGAACUAGUCCCUCACACCUGUGGUCACAGCACAGGAACUACUGCUUAGCACAUGCAGUAAGACUUCUGUGCUGAUGCAAUGAAAAUACCACCGUCUCCCUGGCAACGAUACACUUCCUGUUGAUUGUUUGAUGGUGCUGCAUCGUUAUGCCGAUCGAGACAACAUUUGAACUCUGCGGUGGGGGAGUCGCACUGAAUCAGCAAUGUGUCAAAAACACUUUUGAGAAAUACACAAUAGAAAAAGGAUCCAUUUAAAUUCCUUGAAAGACCGAAGCGGUUAGCUGUGUCGUAAAGUAUUUUUACAAAAACAGGCCGACAAGUGCGGUUGUGGUCCUUUACGCAGCCAGAUGAUCUGCUGUGAGUCCUGUUGGUAGAGAGAUGAAGAGUGUCCACAGUCACGCUUCUCUGCAGCACUUUUGAUGCUUUCUUGGCUUUUGCUUGAGCUCCUUUUUGUAUCCGUCUUGUCAACCAGCCGGCUGUUCGCAUAAGCCGCUCUAUAGAGUAGCUCUAAAAUAGGGUGAAAGCUGCCAGGCCACGGAUAAAGUGAAAAUGGAAUAUGUAAAGGCUGAAAAAUGGACAGAGUUCGGCUCUGACACUGUUGGCUCUCCUUUUCUUCAUGCCGUUUCACCCGCGCCCUGAGCACUUUAACUGGGAAAUUCAUGCUUCAAAUCCUGUCAGUUUCACCUGCAUUCAAAAGGUAAGCCAUAGAAUACACAGGCAGAGUGGAAAAUUACAGACAGUGUCUAGGGUAAAGUAGCCAAUGUGUUACAUAAUGAGCUGACAGGUUAGAGGUAGCUCCCUGCAGAUAAGUGACCCAGAAAUAUCAGCUGCAGGUUUAUCCCAUAUAUUAUAUUAAAUACAGUUCUGCCUUUCACACUGUUGCUGAGUCCUAGAAAUCCUCUUUUCCUGCCAAGAGAAGUCAGGAAACGCAUCCUGUUCACAAUGUUUGAGUUAUACACAUUUGUGUCUUGUCAGAUUGAUUUCCAUGGUAUUUGGGAGAGACAUUGAUAUAUUCGAAGGACUGCAGAGCUUUUCUUCUUUUCUUCCAUUUUUUUAAAUUGUGCAAACUUAGCAUGAUGCUAUAUUAAGAGGGUUAACAAUGUACAACGUUAGCAUUGACUGUCAUGUAAGUUGUAAGAUAUAUUUUCAUUUGUAAAAAAAAUAAAUGCAAAAUGUUAACUAAUUAAUAAAAAAAUAAGAACACCGACAUAACUCUCAAUUAACAACACAAAGUAUGAAUGUUAGCAUGCUGGUAGAGUUUGGACCCAAUAAGCUCCACUGAGUGCAGCCUUAUUACUGUAAAUCUAUUGUAGCAGCAGGCCGGGACCAGGUGUCUUACUGCAGUUAGGAGAACUAACUUUAAGCCACAUUCAACAAAUUGAGAGUGACACCCGUAACCCCCCAUAGAGCUUCAAUAGCCACAGGCACAAGAAGUGAAAAGGAAACAUGUAUUUUUACUGAAUAAAUAAUGAAAAAAUUGCUGUGGGCCUAGCGGAAUUAAUUUAAAUCUUGCACAAAACAUCAGUGAAUCACUUGCAAAAGCCCACCUCCCAGCCAGCUGUGAUGUUUACAACUUUGACUUGUUUGAGAUUACAGGGGCACACAAAGGUUUUUCAGUUUGCUCAUGCUGGUGGAAAGGAAGAGACGAAGGGAAGGAAAAAAAAAAGAAGCUUGAAUAAUUAGACAGAUCAGAGGAAGAGAUCCUUCGCUAGAGGUCACGCGGCUGAUAAACGAUAUGCUCGCCUGCAAUGCAUGUUAAGUGAGCAUUGGUGUAAUUAUCCCGGCUGCGGCGCCUUACGAAUGUGUCUAAUGUCACGGCCUUUCUUCCCUCACCCCCCCGAGCGCUUUCCUUCCUUGUCAAACGCUCCGCAGACAGGGAGUGAAGGUCACUUGACCAGAAGAAAGGUCAAGGAAGGGACGGGCCCAACGACAGACUGAUCUGUCCACCCACUGCCACUCAAUGGCAAAUUUAAUUAAGAUUGAGAGUCACAUUUUACCUCCCAAUCUCGCCCCCUUUCCGGCUCCCGGUCUGAAAGAUUCUGAUUUAUAAAUUUUUCCUAAAGGAAUAGGCGCUUCGCUCAAAUGAGGAUUCUACGGGGAUUAAUCAGGGUUUAGUAGGGUAUUUUCCCUUACUCGUCUUUUUUUUUUUUUUUAAUAAAAAUCCCUUGUCAAAAAUUCUCUUUUUACCUAAUCUCAGAGGUUGACAAGUGUGUAUGUAGCAAGGCACUCAGAAAUGCAGAAGAUAUCUUCAUUAAAACAUCAAAAAAAAAAGAAGCUUCCUCAGGAUUCCACGUGGCAGCUCAUCCGAGGCAGACCUCCUUCCUCCAAAUUGAGAGGUGCUCAGCGCCAUGACAAUCUGUGCUUGCUUUGCACAUUCCACGGAGCCGACGGGAGACCCUGCGCAAUAAAAAGGGAGCCCUUCCUGGAGGUUUUUGGCGGUGUGUUUCUGUGGGCGACACGCAGGAGAUCAAGGGAGCAGGAGAACUGAGUGGGCAGCCCCGGAGCCGCCUCUCUCUCCAGGGGCUCCUCGCUUUAAUCACAGAGCAACCCAGCAAAGUGAUGGUGAACUCCACAUGCCUUUGGUCUCCCUCCUUGCUCUCUCUCUCUCUCUCUCUCUCGCUGUCUACAUCUCCUCAGUUUUUGUCUCUUCUUUGCUCCCCUGUCCUCACGCCACUGCUCAUCUCCUCCUGCACACAUAUAGCUACCCCCUGCGCCUCUUUCUUCUCAGUGCCCCUCGUGGAUUUCGUUGUAAAAUUUCAAAACUGCGGCCGACAUGAUUUUGUUUCAAUUUAAAUAUUGCAACACACAGUGAAUACAUGCAGCACCAGAGAGGUGUUGAUCGGGUAAAAGCUGCUCCGGGAUGAGCGAGGACGUCUUCCCUCCAACGGCUCUAAUUGAUCCCUGGACAUGCUCACCGAGACUCAUGAGCCCGGCUGCCAUAAAAACAGUCAUUACUGAAACAUGUGGCGUCAGGUUACUUACGGCUUUACUGCCCAGUGGCACAUGGAAGACGUGAAGGAGCCAGAGGGAGCUGAGCGUCCUGACAGUUUCGCACAGCAAAGGGGGCCUCAGACAAGCAUGUUAUUUACAGCUGCUCGUUGUGAGCUCAAUGUUUUACGGAAAGACCCUCAGUGGGGCUAAGAUGUGGGAUGGCGGCCGUCUGCUUUGGCACCACGUCCCAGAAAAUGUCACGUCAUGUUGCUGAAAGCUGAAUUCAUUGGUUUGAUUUUUUGGUCACUUGGAUGCAGUAUGAUAUUGUAUCAAGAACGUGUUAAUGUUUCUGCAUAUCUUUAGGCCUGCAUACUUAACAUUAAUGUGGAAUUAAGUUUGGUUUUCUGUGUUUCUGAAUUUUAAAAACUGAACGAAUGCCAGAAUGCCAAAUGAAAAAUGAAACUGAGAUGAACUGGCAGAGACAAAGGGGAGAGCACAGACUCUAUACACCAGAGAGGAAGGUUAAUGUGGAACAGGUGAAUUUAAUCAUGUUAGGCUGGAAAGCUGGAAACACAUGACAACAGGAAGUGAAGUAAACAAACAAUAUAAAACAAUAAAAACAAGACAAAAAAGGAAAUAACUGAAAUCUUAGAAAAAGGGAAAACAUAACUUUAAUCAAAUAGAUGUAAAACCAUUUUAUCUAUGAUGCCUGUAAAAUAAUGGGUUGGGUUUUCAGGCUGGGUGGUAUCAUCAAUAACAAAUGCUAAGCUAAAUAUGUGCUAAAAGUCGUAGUAAAGUGGAAAGGAACCACAGUCUUGAAAGAUUAGGGUUCACGCUGAAAAAUCCACAGAGACUUAUCAUCCAUUUGAUCCAUUGGCUGUGUCCGUCCACUUAAAUACCCUUUGAAAGGUUAAAGCUGUCGUCACUCCGCUACUGUUAGCCGCUUUAUUCCUUUAUUUAUUCUUUUGGCAUUAAAUGAGAUCAUUUCUUCAGCCGUACAUGAGUCGCAUAGCCGCACUGCUGUCAAAUGUGGCCCUGGGGCGUCUGGCGGCAUCCACACAUUCCCAUGAUGCUUCUUUAGGCACAACUGCAGAGCGAGAGACACAGAGAGAGCGAGAGGGAGCGAGAGCAAGUGGAAUGUACAUUGGGUUAGAGUGCACAUAAAUAUACUUUCAUAAUGUCCCUCUAUUGCUUGCAACAAGGAGCUGUGAACCAUUAGCGCCUUGCCUUCCUGUGCUGUAAUAUUAGUCAGUCCUUAAAAGUCGAUGAUGUUUCUGUUGCUUUGCAGGCGCCAAGAAAACAAAUGACGGCUGGAGCGUCUGCUCAGUUUUAAAAAGCAUUUCCUCUUGCGUGUGGUGGUGGUGGUGGUGGAGAGCAAUGUUAUUGAAGUUACUAUGGUGAUUCAAUCUCAGCAACACCCCCACUUCCCCCCUCGCUUCGCUCAUCCUCAUUUCCUCACUAGAACAAAAAAGCAAAUACUUCUGUGAGGAAUUCCCUCGGUUGCAUGAGCUGCAGCGGGUUUCACCAUCUGAUCUGAGCAAGGUUUGGGUGAACGUGUUCCCCACUGGGGAUCCCUGCUCAGAUAUGCAUCCGCGCGGAUCUGCUGAGCAGAGAAGUCGCACAAAACAAUGUUAAUUUCUGGAAUUUUAAAUACUUUGCAGAUUUCUUUUUCUUUUCUUUUUUUUUCGGCUAGAAAUCCCUGGAAUGGAAAUGAAGACUAUGUGGAAAGAAUGCAUUAUGUUACAUUUCACAAUACUGUUUGGGGCCCAUAAAUGUGGAAUCUUAAGUAGUUUGACAUUUACAGCUCAGCCAAGUCAAAAUGCCACUUUCUUUUAGAACAGUUUGGGUGACACCGUGUGCAGUGUUUAUUUAAAGUGCAAACAGUACUAUUUAUAACUCUAUCUCCUCCCCGAUCUCAACAAGGUCCAUUGACAGAAAAGCUAGUUACAAGAAUAGCCAACUUAGUUUUGACAUUUAACAAUGUCAUAACUGCAACUUCUUACUUGACUUUGAAUCAUAAGGCAAAAGACAAGUAGCGGUGAAUUGGAGAGCUUGUUAGGAGGGUUUCUGAAUUUCAUGGCACCUUCUAUCAAUGCAGAACUGUCAUCCAGACACACACACACACACACACACGUCCACUCACUGGCUUCCUCCACAGUUACAACUCAGCUCUUCCUCUCAACUGAGUGUCUCACAGUCACCAUCUGCCAUGUUGGAAAUCUGCCCUCAAUCUGAGAGCUGGAGGCUCUCAGGCGAUCACUGUAUAUAUAAAUAUAUACAUAUAUAUAUAUAUACACACAUACUUGUAUGCAGCUCUACAUAACCCCCCCCCUCUUUAGAAGAUGUAUUUGUUGUAGAGACAAAAAUCCAUGGAGCCCCGUUUUUGUGUUUUUCCUGAACCGAAGCCUGUGUGGCGCAUUAAUUAGAAUCGCCACAUGCUCCAGGGGUAGUGGGCGGGGGGUUUACCGCCAACCAGUUGGCGGGAUUGAGCAGGAUGGGGGAAGCCCACGGCCGCGCCAGGGAGAAGGUUGCUUGGAAUCCACGUGACCCUGUGGCCGUCACUAAGCUGAAAGGGAAUCCCUUCCUGUUUCCCCUGUUUUGUCAGCCGCUCGGACUUGCUACCAUGGCGACCUGGUGUUUACUGUACUGACUGUUUGGCAGCCACGCAGCAACAGGCACAUGACGUGUUCCUAUGGUCAUUUCUAUUUAUAAGCUUCAACGGCGACUCUGUGUGAACGCAGCCUCAGUGGAAAGCAUCAGCUCAGGGGGGACAGGACCGAUGCCUCAGUGGCUGGAUAACAAAAGUCUGUAUGAAGAAGACAUCUAAAUCUCCAUGGCAACUGUAUCAUAACACAGAUGACUGAGUGUGGGCAGACCAUUUUCUCCUGAUAUCUUUCUGUCUUAUUAUGUCACAUUGGAAUUAUCAGUUGAUUUAAAAGACAUUUCUCUUUCCUCCCUCUGAUUCUCAAACAUUAUAAUCUGUGAAAGUUGUUAAGGAUCUUUUUUCUGGUAGAUGAAUUAAUCUUUCCCCUAAAAUAGGUGAUAUUAUGCAUGCCUUUUUUUCUCCCUCACGAAAUCUAAAAUAAUGAGAGAGAUUCUUGGCGCCAGUGAAAGGACCACCGGAUAGUAAAGCUCUGUAGAGCUCAAUUAGGACUCAUCUCUAUCAUUAACUCAACCUAUAAACUAUUAAUGGUCUCCAGCCAUUUUUCACGAUAAGGCUCCCCACUUUUGAAAAAUCUCAUUAGGGCCUAAAUUAGGGAGCUAUCGUAGAUCAAAUUUGGUUUUAUCUGGUUUUGGAAAAUUCCAAAAUAAAGAUUUAAUGAAACAUCUCUCCCACUUUUUUUGCCAGUCCAACUUUCUCUUACAUUCAGCUAAUAUUCUCUCCGUCCAUAUGUUGUCAGGGUUGGGUAGGAAAGGCAGCACUCAAGAUGCACCUUAACCAAAAAGACUUUAAUAGUCAUAAACUCCAACAAAGCAAAAGGCCAACGACCAAAAACACAUACACGUACCGGGGGGAGGGGGGGGCAUAUGUAUUGCACUGUGCAGUACACUUUCUAAGUGUGCACACAUGUGAAGGUGAAUACCUGGUAAGAUGUGCUUUAUUGCAUGCACGUACGCACACAGGCUCCCCCCCUGCCUCCCCCUCUGCCUGAUCACAUCCACUCCCACGUUGCAUCCACCGUCACCUUAUUUGACGCGCAAUACGCAAUGGCUUUACGAAGGUCCCACAAAGAAGAAUUUCCUCCACCAAGAUGAGACUUGUACCGUCUGCGUGUAGUAUGAUACA
ensembl:lncRNA